ensembl:processed_transcript Gm20536 predicted gene 20536
GAUAGAACAAUGACAAUGGCUGUCUCUCAGAGCUUAGUUUUCUUGGGGGGAGAUCACAGAACAUCAGAACUAUGUCACACUGAAGUUCCAAGAUGAGAGUAUCAGUGUGGAAUGGAAGGACCACUAUGCAUAUUCCAAGCACAAGGGCCUGGGAAGGCUGGAAGAAGGGGACAGCCUAACCAUAGAGCAACCCUGAAAAGCUGUGAUACAAAGAUACGAGGAGGGCAGAGGCAGAGACGGAGUGAGUGCCGCAGUGCAGCCAAGGAGGAAUCUGUAGUCUAGAUUACAACCUCAGAAGCUUCAGACCGGGGCACAUUCUGGGAUGAUCAAUGUUUCCAAAACUGGUAAGAGGGGCCGCGCAGUUUCCUUCAACUCGGCAUCCGUUUUCUCG